GAUUGGUGAACCAGCGGAGGGAUCAUUACAGAGUUAUACAACUCCCAUACCAUCUGUUAACCUACCCAGUUAUGCCUCGGCGUAAGCUCGGUUGGAGGCACCUGCAGCUACCCUGUAGUUGCGGACUGCCAACUCCAGCCGCGGCCCGCCGGCGGUACACUAAACUCUGUUUUAUUUUAUAUUCUGAGCGUCUUAUUUUAAUAAGUUAAAACUUUCAACAACGGAUCUCUUGGUUCUGGCAUCGAUGAAGAACGCAGCGAAAUGCGAUAAGUAAUGUGAAUUGCAGAAUUCAGUGAAUCAUCGAAUCUUUGAACGCACAUUGCGCCCAUCAGUAUUCUGGUGGGCAUGCCUGUUCGAGCGUCAUUUCAACCCUUAAGCCUAGCUUAGUGUUGGGAAUCUGCUGUACUGCAGUUCCUUAAAGACAGUGGCGGAGCGGCGGUAGUCCUCUGAGCGUAGUAAUUUAUUUCUCGCUUUUGUCAGGCUCUGUCCUCCCGCCAUAAAACCCCCAAUUUUUUAGUGGUUGACCUYGGAUCAGGUAGGAUACCGCUGACUAGCUAUCAAUAAGCGGAGGAAAAA
rnacentral:rRNA from 1 species